rnacentral:rRNA from 1 species
AAGGUAGCCAAAUGCCUUGUCGGGUAAGUUCCGACGUGCAUGAAUGGAUCAACGACCUCCCCGCUGUCCCCGCCUGGGGCCCGGUGAACCCACAUAACCUGGACGAACAGUCCAGGAUCUUCCAGCGGGGCGAGAAGUCCCCGUGGAGUUUUACUGCAGCUUGUCGCUGGGUUGUGAUUGCGGGUACAGAGCGUAGGUGGGAGCCGUCGAUGUCGACUUCUUCGGGAGUCGAUGGAGGCGCCAAUGUAACACCACCUAUCUGCGGUUACAGUUCUAACUGGACCAAAAGUCCGAGACAACGGCAGGCGGGCAGUUCGGCUGGGGCGGCACCCCCUUGAAAGAAUAUCAAGGGGGCCCAAAGCUCGACUCAUCCGGGACAGGAACCCGGAGUAGAGGGCAAGACCAAAAGUCGGGCUGACUGGAUCCUCAUCAGCAAGGGAUCCAGAGGCGAAAGCCGGGUCUAGCGAUCAUUCAUGUCCCCAUUGUUGGGGGCUGGAUGUGACAGAAAAAUUACCCCGGGAGUAAUUGGCUCGUCUCCUCUGAGAGUCCCCAUCGACGAGGAGGAUUGGUUCUCCGUCGUCGUCCCUUCCCAUCCUGGGCCCGCAGCAGGGUCCAAGGGCGCGGCUGUUCGCCGAUCAAAGGGGAAUGCGAGAUGGGUUUAGACCGUCGCGAGACAGGUCGGACUCUACCUGCUGGAAGUGCUGGUCGCCUGAGGGGAAGGCGCCCCUAGUACGAGAGGAACGGGGUAUCGUAACCUCUAGUUUACCGGUUGUCCGACAGGGCAUUGCCGGGCAGCCACGUUAUCGAGGAUAAGGGCUGAAAGCAUCUAAGCCCGAAGCCUCUCCCGAAAAUAGGCGGCCGAUCCUUUCCAAGGGA